rnacentral:rRNA from 1 species
UACAGAGGUCUCAAGCGUUGUUCGGAUUCAUUGGGCGUAAAGGGUGCGUAGGUGGCGUGGUAAGUUUGAUGUGAAAGCUCAGGGCUUAACCCUGAAAUGGCAUUGAAUACUACUAUGCUGGAGGUUUGGAGGGGGGACUGGAAUUCUUGGUGUAGCAGUGAAAUGCGUAGAUAUCAAGAGGAACACCAGUGGCGAAGGCGAGUCCCUGGACAACACCUGACACUGAGGCACGAAAGCUAGGGGAGCAAACAGG